UACACGCGAACACCUGAAAAAAACGUAAAACUCGAAACCCUCGUCCGCCCAAAAUUUUCGGUAGCGAGGGAAAACCGAAAAAUCAAAAUUCUUUUGGAAAUUUCUCACUUCUUCCAAAGACUGAAAGCAUAAAAUACUUGAGUGUGAUAAACAAAACUCACACACACCCUUAAACUAAUUUUGCGAUAUCAAAUCAGUUUGUGUUGCUUUUAUUUUUUUGGUUGAGCCUCUGGAUAUGGCGGUGGUCAGCAAGAAUCAGACCGAGCAACAAACACCAAGGAUCGAAGAUUCCACCACUGGAAAAACUUGUCACCAGUGUCGACAAAAGAGAACGGAUCUUGUUGGAUCCUGUGUGACCAAAAAGAAAGACAGGACAUGCCCGAUUAAGUUGUGUACCAAGUGCAUAUUGAACAGGUAUGGGGAGAAUGCACAAGAGGUUGCGUUGAAGAAAGAUUGGAUUUGUCCCAAAUGCAGAGGCAAUUGUAACUGUAGCUGCUGCAUGAAGAAACGAGGUCAAAAGCCUACUGGGAUUUUAGUACACACCGCUAAAAAGACUGGGUUCUCUUCUGUCUCAGAGCUUCUGAAGACUAGUGGUUCUGACAAAUAUUUCUAUACAAAGAAGGUGAAACCGGAAGGUGUUGUUGUUCCUUCACCGCUGAAACUUGACCAUGAGAAUUCUAUUGAACAAAAUCAAGUUAGUGUAAAAAAAUCGAUAAAAACUAAACGUGAAGAGCUUAAGGAUUUAAACAACGGCUGCAACGAUGAGAAUGCCGUGGUGAAAAAGAGCAGUUCCAAAAAGAUCAAGAUUUCUGGUCCCGUUCAUGAGACACAAGUUACCAAGAAAGUAUUGGUUGAAGGAAAAAGGAAGAAGAUUACGGCAAAAGAUAUCAAGGAAAUAAACGUAGCGGAAAAAACCAAAAGAAUCAAACCAGCUCUCAAAAAGAAAGAAGAGGAUCAGGUUGAUGUGAAACUACCUCAGGGCAAUAGCUCAAUUUCUAUUUCUCAGGAAAAGAAUGUAGCGGAUAAAAUCAAAAGAAUCAAACCUGCUCGCAAAAGGAAAUUAGAGGAUCAGGUUGAGGUGAAACUACCUCAGGGCAAUAGCUCAAUUUCUAUUUCUCAGGAAAAGAAUGCAGCGGAUAAAAUCAAAAGAAUCAAACCUGCUCGCAAAAGGAAAGAAGAGGAUCAUGUUGAGGUGAAACUACCUGAGGGCAAUAAUUCAAUUACUGUUUCUGGCAUUGACUUGGCUCCUGAAGAUGUUGGAAAUGUAUUUCAGUUUUUGGAGUUUUGUUCAGCUUUUGGGAAGGCUCUUGAUUUAAGGAAAGGACAAGCUGAAUGUGUGAUUCGUGAAAUGUUAUCUGGACGAAGCAAAAGGAGACAACAGUAUUCCACACUCACGCAGAUGAUAAUCCAACUACUUACUGUGAUAUUAGAGGAUAGAGGAGAAACAUCGGUUUGCCUGACUGCAACUGAUGCUAGUUGGUUCACUGCAAUUGGAGAAUGUCUUACAGAAUCAGAAGUUCAGCUUGAUGAUUUCCCUCCUGAAAUGUUUAAAAAAGGCCUUUCUCAUUAUGAGAAGUUGAAUUCAUCAAAAAGGCUUAAGCUUUUGAAUUUCUUAUGUGAUGAGACGCUUGGCACAUCGGUGAUGAGAAAUUGCAUUGAUAGCCAAAAUCUUGAGUCUGUUGAAAGGAAAAAGGAAGCAAAAGAAAAGAUCAAUGCAGCAAAACAUAAGGAGAAAGGACUAAAGCAGAAAUUGCAAGAUGAGUUGGCCCAAGCAGUAAAAGAGAAAAACGGGAUUCCAUUGUUGAUAACAGAACGUGAUGCAAUUGUCUCACGAAUAAAUGCUGAAACCAAAGAAGUUUAUUCUGAAAUGCAAAACGCAAUAGACAUGCUAGCCAUAAAGAGUCAAGGAAGUGAUGAUGCUGUUAGAACCAACCCGGUGGAAUUGGGUGACAAUGGUCUUAUAUUCUGGAGACUGAAGAGUUACAAUGAUGAGCAAAACAUUUUGCUUCAAGAUUUAGGAAGCUGGACUGAUGUAUGUCCUCAUGAAAAAUGGUUUUCCUUCAGCUCUGAGCAGAAACCAGAGAUAGAGAAAUGCAUCUCUUUCAUACGGAUGAAACGGCUUCGAGCACAAAAGAAUGCAAAUACUAUUAUCACUUAGAGAUGAGUCUCUUCGGCUGUGAGCACAUAAGAACAUGAUUCUGAUAAGCAAUGAGGUAAAAGAUAAGCUAAACAAUCAACAUGUGGACAUCAAAUGACUAAGGAAGUGGAUCAAGAGACGAAGUUGCAUACACAAUAACAAUUGUUAAAAUACUUGUGAAGCAUUCGUCAAACAGUAGCAGCAAGAACCUCAAUUCCCAAGAUACCAUCUGUUGAGAACAGAGUACAAAACGUUCUCUAUCUCACAACAAGGAUCAUAUUAAAUCAUAGAAGCAUCAUUCGCUGAUCCAACCAGGUCCCAUUUACUUUUCUUGGGAUUGUAACUUUGUAAGCAACCACCGCUCUGUUAUUCAACACAUGCCACUUAUCGUCAAUACAUGCGCUUUUGGUGUGAAAGUUGUGUUUUGUUUCGCUGUAAGAACACCUCGAAUGAGUUCUUCAAGGAAUCGGAAUCGCCAUCUCUAGCUACUACAUAUAUCUUUCGGUCAAG